rnacentral:rRNA from 1 species
UAGGGGGACCUGCGGAGGGAUCAUUACCGAGUUUACAACUCCCAAACCCCUGUGAACAUACCUUAAUGUUGCCUCGGCGGAUCAGCCCGCGCCCCGUAAAACGGGACGGCCCGCCAGAGGACCCAAACUCUAAUGUUUCUUAUUGUAACUUCUGAGUAAAACAAACAAAUAAAUCAAAACUUUCAACAACGGAUCUCUUGGUUCUGGCAUCGAUGAAGAACGCAGCAAAAUGCGAUAAGUAAUGUGAAUUGCAGAAUUCAGUGAAUCAUCGAAUCUUUGAACGCACAUUGCGCCCGCUGGUAUUCCGGCGGGCAUGCCUGUUCGAGCGUCAUUUCAACCCUCAAGCCCCCGGGUUUGGUGUUGGGGAUCGGCUCUGCCCUUCUGGGCGGUGCCGCCCCCGAAAUACAUUGGCGGUCUCGCUGCAGCCUCCAUUGCGUAGUAGCUAACACCUCGCAACUGGAACGCGGCGCGGCCAUGCCGUAAAACCCCAACUUCUGAAUGUGACC